AGUUGUAAUCUAGAGAAAUGUUUUCCGUGCCGGCCCAUGUACAAGUCCCUUGGAACAGGGCGUCAUAGAGGGUGAGAAUCCCGUCCUUGACAUGGACCCCCGGUGCUUUGUGAUACAUUUUCAACGAGUCGAGUUGUUUGGGAAUGCAGCUCAAAAUGGGUGGUGAAUUCCAUCUAAAGCUAAAUAUUGGCGAGAGACCGAUAGCGAACAAGUACCGUGAGGGAAAGAUGAAAAGCACUUUGGAAAGAGAGUUAAACAGUACGUGAAAUUGUUGAAAGGGAAACGAUUGAAGUCAGUCAUGCUCUUUGGUAUUUAUAUCAUUGAGUGGGGUCAACAUCAGUUUUGAUCGAUGGAUAAAGGCACUAGGAAGGUAGCACUCUCGGGUGAACUUAUAGCCUAGCGUCAUAUACAUUGAUUGGGACUGAGGAACGCAGCAUGCCUUUAUGGCCGGGAUUCGUCCACGUACAUGCUUAGGAUGUUGACAUAAUGGCUUUAAACGACCCGUCUUGAAACACGGACC
rnacentral:rRNA from 1 species